AGCGGCAUGGUGUUAGGCCUCACGGAUGGGCAUUCUCUCAGUUUUUUAACCAUUGUUGCAGACUGCGGCCAGCAGCGGCUAGAUGUUGCCUCUUGCUACGAACUGGUGAACAACAAGUGCGGAAGGAUUCGUACGUGCAAGCCAGCAGCAGCCUGGUGUUAGGGCCUCACGGAUGGACAUUCUCUCAAUUUGGUAGUCAUUGUUGCAGUCUGUAGACCGCGGAUAAUUCAAUGCACCAGUCAGGUAUUUCACAAAAAGUAUAUGAAAUAAUUUGCUUGAAUUUAGUAAUCUAUCUUUGAUGUGAUGCUUAUUUAUCAAUAUAUUGGUACAUGAACAAACAAUGCCAUCCCCGUGACAAAAGACCAGCUAACUUUUGGUCACUAUUUACAACUAAUUGAAGCACUCCUGCGACCAAUGUCAGCACAAUUUCUCUUCUUCACCUCUUAGUAGUAUGUCUAAUUAUAUUAAGCGCUGGUUAUUUCCAUCACAUAGUUCUUCAACUAAUUUCUAAUUUUCUACGCGUGCCACUUGAUAUCUGGUCAGUAUUUAUAUUUUUUUAGGUUAGUUGUGCUUUACACUACCAACCUAACAAGAUCCUCAUAUACAGAUCUGAGUUGAAAAAGACAGUAGUCCUUUGCUUUUCAGAUAAUAGGCCAUAUAUGCCAAGUUUUAAAUUAAUGAAGACAACUUUACCAACUUAGCUUAGCUGAGUGGGUUGUUAUUUUGAGCUUAUCAUCUAUCGUCGUUCUAGAAUCACCAUAGUCGAUGGUGGCAAUCUGUGAUAGGACAACAACUCCUAUGAGGGCAACGAAUACGGCCGAUGUACUCGACUCAUCCCGUGUGUUGGCACCGUUGUCUUCCUCCCAGAGAGGCAAGUAUUAUCGAUGCUUCUUACCGUGGUGUAGGAUGCGUAGACGGUAGCUCAAUGUCCAGGUGGAUGCAGUCUGGCGGGGAAUAGGAGCUGCUGCCUACUUCUCUUGCACUCUCAAUCCCCUUAUUGCUUCGCCCGACUCUGAUUUCUUUGCUCUGUUGUCCUCUGAAAGCCUAGCAGAUCACAAGGUUAGUAUGAAAUAAUGUAAUGGGGUGGUCACGGCUCCCGAAUCUAUCAUGUUUAAUUUUAUAUACCUGAUGUUUUCUAUUGGGUAUAUUUUUUGUUCUUAUUCGAAGGCAACUCCAGACCCUGCUUCCAAUAUGUUGUCCUCAUCUAUUCUGGAGGUUUGCAACAAUUACGAGGGGUCUUUCUCCUGAAUUGUUCCCCAAACAAAGAAGGUAAAAACUAAUCUCUACACCUCACUUAGUGGUAUUUAAUUGACACAUUUGUUAUCGUGCUAUUGUUUGUUUCCACUAGGGAUCCAGUUUCCAUGUUAAUUUUUCAUUUGGUUCGGGUUUGUAACUUGUGGUUGAUGGUCAUGUUGAAAUUUUCUUUCUUGGAUAUUGAUUUGUGCUUUGAUUGUUUCAGAUAGUUAGUCUAUUAAUUAUUUUCAUUGGCUGAUUGCAAGGAGGUGAGUACUAUUGGCUCAAGGUGGUGUCUUUGGCACUUCAAAAACUAUUCGUCCUAUAAUAGGCAGUUUCAAAUUCCUCAUUUUACAUAGGUUAGACCAAUAGUAAGUUGAAGAUGUAAUGGCCUAAUGGGCUUAUAACCGGGUUGCCUGACUACCUCUCCUAGAUAGUGCAGCAGGAGAUUUUGUUGGCCAUACAUGCAUGGUGGGUAACUUCUGUAUACAUACAUAUCAUGAGUGUCUUCUUAAUGAUAGGCGGUACUGUUGGUGCAUACAAACCAGAAAAAUAAUACUUCCACUAGGAGCAUUGCUAAGCCUUUGUCUGUGUGCACAUGUUUCUAUUUUCCUAUAACUAGCUAUAUCAACAUAAGCAUUUCAACUAUAACUUGCGGUUAUGCUUUGCUUCUUUCAUAAUGAGAGAUGUUUGCCCCGGUAUUUGGUAAUGGUUCCCCCUUGGUAUAAAUCCUCUUCAGUUAUUGGUUUCUUAUUUUCUUUUUUUUCCCAGACCUGAAGAAUCGGACGGAGAAAUUUAUAUUUUUAGUGGAUACCUAUACCAAUGAAUGAGUCCUUGCAGAAUUUUCAAAUCGUCUUUCGGUUGAAUUAUUGUUCUCUACCUUCUUGCUAGCCAUUUCUCUACUUACAUUUAGUGAUCCUGAUGCCAAAUGGAUCAGACGAAAUAACAUCACAUCUUAAUUGAGCGAGAAAGGUUUGUGUGCCUAGGGAUGGGUGUUUUUCCUCCUCUUAUAUUCAGUUCGUUGAGCAUUUUGUGUGCCCUGUUCAGGCCAAGCUAUGUGCUCGCUUUUGUUUGGUUGUUUGUUUGCUUAUCCAGUAAUAUUACUAACCUGCAAUGACAUGCUGGCCAUAUACAUACAGUUCUUUGAAUUUUAUGUUGGAGAGUCUGAUCUAAUUGCUAACCAGUAUAUGCUUACAGUUCAACUAUUCUUCAUUGCCUUCAGAGAGGGCAUUGAUGCUCACUGAAUCUCUUUUUUGAUAGAACUUCGCCCAUCUUUGUGCAUAUGCUUGGGUUUUCAAUAAAAUAUGUUGUUAUUUGGUUCAAACCAAUUAUAAAACAAGUAUAUACUAUCAGUAGUUUGGAUUGUCCAUCCAUUCUGGACAGACAUAGGUGGAGUCACCGGUCAGGUAGUGCAUCCAACUGAAUUCCUACAUUUCGCCCAAAUUUCGUGAUAUGGCAGCAUUGAAAAGUACUCUUCAUUAGUAAUAUAAUAAUCUUGCAUUCCUAAGUCUGAUACCUGCUUUGCAUCCUUCCUGCAGGCAUGUGAGUUCAUUGAAGAAAAUAUGCAUGUUUUUUCCUUGUAUGGUUCAAGCUGUUUAAAUAGCAGACCAUUCGUGUUGCACAUUGGCCAUAACUAUCCAUACAUGUCCCUUCACAAACUACUAUCUAUUUCCGAGAUCUAAGGCAUAGCCGGGAUGGUGAGUAUGGGUUGAUGCACGCCUGCCGGCCUUAGUUCGAAUCUCCGCAUUCGCAACCCAGGUUCUACUCACUAAAUCUUCUACAAAACUGCCAAGGGCUUCUUCCCCUGUAGGCGUCAUUUUUUUAUUUAUUAUCUAUUUCCCUUAAACAGUUGAUUGGCAAUGUGGGGAAGUAGGAUUGUAGAGUGGACGCUCACUGGUUCCUUUUGCUUUGGUCAAGACGCACAUUACAACAACGGAAUAUAGUGAUUCAGAUAUGGGCCAAUUA